rnacentral:rRNA from 1 species
CGUAGGGUGCGAGCGUUAAUCGGAAUUACUGGGCGUAAAGUGUGCGCAGGUGGCCGCGCAAGUCGAGUGUGAAAUCCCCGAGCUUAACUUGGGAAUUGCGCUCGAAACUACGUGGCUCGAGUGUGGCAGAGGAAGGUGGAAUUCCACGUGUAGCGGUGAAAUGCGUAGAGAUGUGGAGGAACACCGAUGGCGAAGGCAGCCUUCUGGGCCAACACUGACGCUCAUGCACGAAAGCGUGGGGAGCAAACAGGAUUAGAUACCCUGGUAGUCCACGCCCUAAACGAUGAUGACUAGUUGUUGGGGGAGUUAAAUCCCUUAGUAACGCAGCGAACGCGUGAAGUCAUCCGCCUGGGGAGUACGGUCGCAAGAUUA